UACAGGGGGGGGCAAGCGUUGUUCGGAAUUACUGGGCGUAAAGGGCUCGUAGGCGGCCAACUAAGUCCGACGUGAAAUCCCAAAGCUUAACUUUGGAACUGCGUCGGAUACUGGAUGGCUUGAAUUCGGGAGAGGGAUGCAGAAUUCCAGGUGUAGCGGUGAAAUGCGUAGAUAUCUGGAGGAACACCGGUGGCGAAGGCGGCAUCCUGGACCGGUAUUGACGCUGAGGAGCGAAAGCCAGGGGAGCAAACGGG
rnacentral:rRNA from 1 species